AAAAGUAGUUACCUCCGAGCUUUGGAACCUGUGAUAGUAGAUUAUGGUUCUCUAGCCGUUAGGGUUCACCUGGAAACGGGUGCGCCUCCCGUGUGGAAAGGAUGGUAGGUUUAUUAAAC
rnacentral:ncRNA from 2 species